rnacentral:rRNA from 1 species
UACGUAGGGUGCGAGCGUUGUCCGGAAUUAUUGGGCGUAAAGAGCUUGUAGGCGGUUUGUCGCGUCUGCUGUGAAAAUCCGGGGCUCAACCCCGGACUUGCAGUGGGUACGGGCAGACUAGAGUGUGGUAGGGGAGACUGGAAUUCCUGGUGUAGCGGUGAAAUGCGCAGAUAUCAGGAGGAACACCGAUGGCGAAGGCAGGUCUCUGGGCCACUACUGACGUG